UCCUCGCUGCUUGACCACGUGACGCGUGACGACAGUCACAACAACAACACGUGCAGGUCCUGCAGAUGAUUUAGUCUUAAAAGCUGUCAGUGUCACUUUGACAGCACAUCUUUCAGCUCACCUGCAAACAAAACCGACACACAGUCUGAUAAAACCGAGGGUCACGCGACUCACCUAAGAAGUGAUGUGUUGUUGGUUGGAAGCAGAGCUCUGGACGUGUGGACAGAUGUUGACUGUAAUGAUGGACAUCUGCUCAUGGACAGUGUGUCCAAAAGUAUAACCGCUGCGGGUCACAGUGCUGGAAGCUCCAGGGGAGACCGUACUGAUAUCCCCCUUCUUCAGGCGCGCCUUCACACACACUCCUCCAUUCACUCGUAUCGCAGAGACCUGGCUGGGAUUGAACCAGCAACCUCUGAACCGUGAGGCAGCGCUCUUACCUGCGAGCCACAGAUCUCUUGCUGGAGCACCUGAAGGAACUUAUAUUUGACUGUUUACCUGUGAUUACCCAAUAAAGAAGUUAAAAUAAGCUGGGUAUAUGAUUUUUGGAGGUGGGAUUUGAACUCACAUCUCCAUCACAGUCUCAUCCUCAGAGAACAUGUGUUUAUCCACUAACCCAUCAUGGAUUUCAUGCUGUGUUUUAGUGACUUUGUUGGCUGAGUUGGAUUUAAAGUAAGCAAUUGUGGGAUUUGAACUCAGAGCUCCUGAAUUAAAACAAAGAGCUUUAUCUCCUGAUCAACUGAGUCUGUCGAGUCAUUUAGCAUUUCGAACAGGUUUUUAUUGAGAGAUUUGUUCUAAACAAUGAAUAAUGACCAUGAGGUUUGAACCAGGAUUUUCAUGUUUGAGAUUGAAGCCUUCAACCACUGAGCCACAGAAGCAGUGAUGAUAUUUUGUUGCUGUUUUUACAGUCAUUUAAAUUUUAAGUUUAUUAUACUCGAUUGUAAUUCACAAAACUCACCACAACGUGUCUGAGUCUACUCUGAACCAAGACUAACGAACGCCCUCCUGUGGUGUUUUUUGUGCAUUGCUAUUUUAGCUCAUUGUUUGUGUGUGAUUUUGUUCUGUCCUCUUCUACUAAAACAAACUGAAGUGCAAAAAAAGUCAGAGGACCUAAAGCAGGCCCUCAUGUGGUGAUUUUUGGGAAUUACACCGCUGCAAAUUGAGUCUAAUGAACUUAAACAGGAAUUUGUACUGUUCUGUCUGUUCAUGUUAAAAUACAUCUAUAAAAAAUCUAACAUUUUUCACGAAUAGCAGAAUGAGAGAAACUGAAGUGCGGUUUUUCAUCCGCUCCACGAGGCGGCGCAAGCGGGUUUCAGCUUCAGUCUGACACCUUCGACUGCGUGACAACACGACGCUCGAGUCACAACAACAACAACACGUGCGGAUCCUGCAGAUGAGAGCUGUCAAUGUCAGUUUAACAACAUGUUUUUCAGCUAAUCUGCAAAUAAAUCCGACACACGGUCCGAUGAAACGCUGGACUCGAGUGUGACGCGACUCACCUAAGAAGUGAUGUGUUGUUGGUUGGAAGCAGAGCUCUGGACGUGUGGACAGAUGUUGACUGUAAUGAUGGACAUCUGCUCAUGGACAGCGUGUGCAAAAGUAUAACCACCACUGCGGGUCACAGUGCUGGAAGCUCCAGGGGGAGACCGUACUGAUAUCCCCCUUCUUCAGGCGCGCCUUCACACACACUCCUCCA